GUGACUUUCCAGCUCAUUGAUAUUGGAUUCUGAUAGAUUGGGAUUCCAAGUAUACUGAUGCCAGUCUUUAAGCAUGAGGAGCCUCACAGGAAGUGGAUGUUUAUGAGGCUUGCCUUUUUCAGGCCUUGUGCCCCCUAUGCCUCUGCUGGUAGGCACACAUCUUAGUUACAUUGCCCGCAUCUAAGGUUCAGAGGCGCUAACCUUUGGGCCUGGUGUGCCUUGGGCCUGAGGCACACCUUCGACAUUUAUGGGCACCGAAGACUUAAGCGAUUGAGGCUAGCUAGGUAUAAUGCAAAGCUG
rnacentral:misc_RNA from 1 species